rnacentral:rRNA from 1 species
CGUGUAGGCGGCAGGAUAAGUCAGACGUGAAAGCCCUGAGCUUAACUCAGGAAGUGCAUUUGAAACUGUCCCGCUUGAGUAAGGGAGAGGGAAGUGGAAUUCCUGGUGUAGAGGUGAAAUUCGUAGAUAUCAGGAGGAACACCGGUGGCGAAGGCGACUUCCUGGCCCUAUACUGACGCUGAGACGCGAGAGCGUGGGUAGCAAACA